rnacentral:lncRNA from 1 species
UCACAUAUAAUGUCGGGUCAUCUAAUUGACCGGCUCUUGGAUUUCUUCAACUUGUGCUCUGUAGUAAACUACAACACUUAUGGAUUUCUCAACCAUAUAUUUGUCGGGUUACAUUGCAACCACGGCCAAGGAUUUCUUUCAUCACAAAGGUAUCACAAGAGUGGAUAUGAUUCUACAAUGGAAGGAAUAGUCCCAAGUCGCUACACGCACACGACCCGGCACUUGGGGGCUACAU